AGGGUAUAGACCCGAAACCCGGUGAUCUAGCCAUGGGCAGGUUGAAGGUUGGGUAACACUAACUGGAGGACCGAACCGACUAAUGUUGAAAAAUUAGCGGAUGACCUGUGGCUGGGGGUGAAAGGCCAAUCAAACCGGGAGAUAGCUGGUUCUCCCCGAAAGCUAUUUAGGUAGCGCCUCGUGAACUCAUCUCCGGGGGUAGAGCACUGUUUCGGCUAGGGGGCCAUCCCGGCUUACCAACCCGAUGCAAACUGCGAAUACCGGAGAAUGUUAUCACGGGAGACACACGGCGGGUGCUAACGUCCGUCGUGAAGAGGGAAACAACCCAGACCGCCAGCUAAGGUCCCAAAGUCAUGGUUAAGUGGGAAACGAUGUGGGAAGGCCCAGACAGCCAGGAUGUUGGCUUAGAAGCAGCCAUCAUUUAAAGAAAGCGUAAUAGCUCACUGGUCGAGUCGGCCUGCGCGGAAGAUGUAACGGGGCUAAACCAUGCA
rnacentral:rRNA from 1 species